rnacentral:rRNA from 1 species
GAUGAACGCUGGCGGCGUGCCUAAUACAUGCAAGUCGAGCGAACAGACGAGGAGCUUGCUCCUCUGACGUUAGCGGCGGACGGGUGAGUAACACGUGGAUAACCUACCUAUAAGACUGGGAUAACUUCGGGAAACCGGAGCUAAUACCGGAUAAUAUAUUGAACCGCAUGGUUCAAUAGUGAAAGACGGUUUUGCUGGCAGUUAUAGAUGGAUCCGCGCCGGAUUAGCUAGUUGGUAAGGUAACGGCUUACCAAGGCAACGAUGCGUAGCCGACCUGAGAGGGUGAUCGGCCACACUGGAACUGAGACACGGUCCAGACUCCUACGGGAGGCAGCAGUAGGGAAUCUUCCGCAAUGGGCGAAAGCCUGACGGAGCAACGCCGCGUGAGUGAUGAAGGUCUUCGGAUCGUAAAACUCUGUUAUUAGGGAAGAACAAAUGUGUAAGUAACUAUGCACGUCUUGACGGUACCUAAUCAGAAAGCCACGGCUAACUACGUG